rnacentral:rRNA from 1 species
UACGUAGGGUGCGAGCGUUAAUCGGAAUUACUGGGCGUAAAGCGUGCGCAGGCGGUUGCACAAGACAGUGGUGAAAUCCCCGGGCUUAACCUGGGAACUGCCUUUGUGACUGUGCGGCUAGAGUGUGUCAGAGGGGGGUAGAAUUCCACGUGUAGCAGUGAAAUGCGUAGAUAUGUGGAGGAAUACCGAUGGCGAAGGCAGCCCCCUGGGAUAACACUGACGCUCAUGCACGAAAGCGUGGGGAGCAAACAGG